CUCAAAACGUGCAAUAUUUCUUUACAGGUUUAAACAUCUGUAAAUUCUUCUAACCAGGCGCUAAUUGUUAUGAAAAGGUUAUGGCAGUGCACGGAAAUCCUCUGUCUGCUCAUCCCAGAGGCAACAAAGAUAUAUCCCCCUCUAAUCCAAAUGGGUCGCAAGGGGCCAAAUCUGGCCCUCAAAAGUCAAAGUUUGUCUGCACGUGGUCAAAAAGCACAAAAACAGAGAUUGCAUCCAAAAAUGUAAAUAUACAACCACAUGUCAGAGGUCAUCACAAGUCAGGACUGGCAGCAAGACAGCAUCCUGGGAAAUAAUGCAAGGUGUCAUUUGUGGAGAUAUUUCCUGAUUGAAGACAUUGUGCAGGAGUCAAUAUAAAAUUAAAGUGAAGAAUGCUGAUUGUGUGCAUGUCCAAAGGUGUUAGUGACUGCAGGGAUAAAUGAUCAUUUCCAGUCUUAAAAAAAAAACCCAAAACAAUACAUAGAUCUGUUUUACUCUGCGCGCAGCGUUGAACUGCAGGUGAAACUUCAGAGCCGUGGAGAUGAACUUCCAGCCAGGUCAGCGUGUUAGGCGACAGAGAGAGCAACACCAUCCACCAGCUUUGUCUCGGGAUGUAUUACAGUAUAUGGGUGCCCCCUAGCGUAUGGUUUUUUUCUCUCUCUUCAAAUAAGAUUCAAUUUAGAGGAGCCAUCCGAGACGGAAACAGCUUCAGUCUCGUCUCUCGCAUCGACCAACCAAACUUACGAGCUGCCGUUUAAAUUGAUGACUGUUUUAAUUGUGCUCAAUACGACUGUGGACCGCAAAAAGCUUUCAUAACUGCAGGAGUUGGAUUUACUUUUUUUCCCCCGCUACUUUAACUAAUCUCAGUGGUGGUAUCUAUGCAAAAUUGCAUCUAAUAUCGACAGAAAUUAGCCGAUUAUAUUUUGUUUGCAUUAUUAUUUUUCGUUGACAGAUCCGGUGUUAGUGGAAACAGACCUAAAGGCGCGGCGAGGAUCCAGUUUUACAAAAAAAAAAUGAAGGAGUGAAAAACUUUGUGAGACGAGACGAGAGAGAAAGUCGCGACAGCACUCAGUGCAGAGCCAGCUGUGUCACAUGUGGUCCCCCCUAGGCUGCAGACAGGGUGUUGGGUUACUGUAACUGAAGGUGUGUUGUGGUUGCAAGAGUGAGUAUGUAAAAAGUACACACACGUAUGAAGACACACACUUCAGUUUCAGGUUACCUUCAGAACCUGAGGUUUAUUUUAUUAAAUAUCACUUCUUAUCAGGUACAAUGGCAACCAGCUUGUUACAGUGACAAUAAACUUUUAUUAAAUCUAUCGGUUAUAUCAAAGUACUGUUGUUUGUAUAUCCAAGGUUUAUUACAGUCCUGUUACAUUCCAACACAGUGCAUAGCAUGAUACAGUCACUUUAUUAUUAGGUUUUGACUUUGAAUUAAGGUAGCCCAUCACUCUGUUUGACUUGUGUUGUUAUACAUAUGUUAUGUCUUUUACUAAUUAACACAUUUUGUGUUUACCUUUUAUAUAUUGUUACAUUAAAAAAAAGAUUUUUACUGAUUUAUAAUUUUUCUCUUAAAUGCAAUGACAUAGCUAGACAUAAAGCGGUACUGCUGCACAAAAUCUGAAUAUAAAUAAAUCACAGAUCCAAAUUUCUAUAUUCAUCUGUUUGUAUAAACAUAUUAUAUCAAUCUUUUAAUGCAAUGGUUAAGGUUGAGGCUAGAGUUGAAAUAAAUAUUUUGUCUAACUUACAGCAUUCAAGUUAAAAUAUGAUUAGGCAAGGCGAGGCAAGUUUAUUUUUAUAGCGCAUUUUAGCAACAGGACAAUUCAAAGUGCUUUACACGAUGAAAGAAGUACACUGCAGUGGCAUGAAGGAAAGUAAAGAAAAGUAAAGAAAAGUAAAGAAAUGUGCCUAUGAAUGCACUCAAUCCUUUUAGGCCUGUAUUUUCAUAACAUAAAAUCAAACCUUUUUACCUGGGGAGGAAGCAAGUCCUUUGAACUGUUCUGACCCAUUAUGUGUCUCGAUAAUGUGGGAAUAUUCCUUUUAAAAACUGGUUCACACCUGGACUAAGAGUCAGAAACUUCCUGGUGCUCUGUAUGCAACAUUUGUGUUUUAAACAUUUCUGUGAUUUUUUUAUGUGCCUGACAAUGCUAUUCUAUGUGCAUAAAUGUUGCUGUGCACAGUUCUGUAUACUUUUCUUAGUCCUUUAUAUCUUAGUUUGAAGCAGUUGGACUCUUUUAAUCUUUUAAAAGAUCUUUUGGAGCUUUGCUGUUUAACGCUGGAAACUUUUUGUUAAAUUUGAUUAGGAUUUUUUACUGGGGCAGUGCUUUUAGCCGGACCCCAUAUUUUCAUGUGAACUGAAAGGUAUCAGAAAAUGUAUUUGAAAUGUGGAAUAAGUAGUUUGCCAUCAUUGAGUAUAAGAUAUGCAGAUCAAAUAAAUACUCUCUGUUUAUUUUAGUAACUGAUGUUUUUGUGUCUUCAGUCAUGUGCUACUGUCAUUUUAUUGCUGGUCAAUUAAAAUAAAAUUACAUUUGCUGUGUGGUUCCCAA